rnacentral:sRNA from 1 species
UAAAGAUGAGACCACACAGCACAUUGUC